rnacentral:rRNA from 1 species
UACAGAGACUGCAAGCGUUAUUCGGAUUCACUGGGCGUAAAGGGUGCGCAGGCGGCCGUGUGUGUGAGGCGUGAAAGCCCGGAGCUCAACUCCGGAAUUGCACCUCAAACUACACGGCUAGAGCAUUGGAGAGGGUAGCGGAAUUCACGGUGUAGCAGUGAAAUGCGUAGAUAUCGUGAGGAACACCAGAGGCGAAGGCGGCUACCUGGACAAUUGCUGACGCUCAGGCACGAAAGCGUGGGGGAGCAAAAAGGG